rnacentral:misc_RNA from 1 species
UAGCUUUCGCCGACGUCGUUAUCGUUUUCGCUUUAGGCGCGAAACCGACAGGCAAUAAUGGGGGUACGAUCGAGCUAGCGGAAAGCUCUCAAGAUGUAAAGCGCUCCUAACCAAGAAAAGGCGCCGUUGCUUAACGUACACACCCUUUUGCUGAUACUCCUCUCUUUCGGUGCGCGAGAACCAGGGGUGGCCGAGUGGCGGAACUGGAGAUGCGUUGCAGAUUAUGUUUCAGAUCAUGGUUCUUCUUGCUUCCUUUACCAAAACACAAGCGCGCACAAACAACAUAUCAUGGUUCGGCGUCGGGUGUCUCAUCUCUGGAUCUGAAACUUCCUGGAGUCUGAAGACCGUCAGUGAUGGUUGACACGGAUGAUUGGACCGUGGAAAGGAACGGAGGGACUCGGCGCAUUUGGUCGCACCCCCGGCUGUCUGAUUAGCAUUUGCCACUGUUGGUUGAUGCUCUAGACUCUAGAGUUGCGAGAGAGAUUGGUUGCCAAUUCAAUUCAAAUCCUGUGUGUUGGACAACACAGCACCAGGUUGGCCCGAAAUUCUCCUGUGUGUGGACAGCUGUUACAGCAAUGGGUGGCCGCACCACCGGAUCCACGGAACAUCUGGAGCCUUGGCGCUUUCCCGUUGAAGCAGCAGAAAUAUUUUGUGGCACACUGCACAGGUUGGAAAAAGUUCGCGUGCUUGGGUUGGGUGUGUCCUUGCGAGACGGAAACCGUGCAGAGGAACGGAGCCGUCCACCGGUCCACGGAUGUACCGAACCCGAGCAGCUGCCCUGGGUGACCUGACUGACCUGAGCGAGCAGCCAGAAAGCAUGGCUGGCAGUGGCACUGGCAGGACAAAAAGCGGGCCCAAAUCAUGCAUCGACACGCCUAGCUCAUCGACAAAAAUUUAAUCCGCGCAAAGAUUCACAACUCCACAAACUUGGAAGACGGAAUCUACCUAUGCACAAGAGGGAUCUAAUCUCCUAGCCUUUUUUUGGGGGGGUGGCCGCUUUACUCAUUUUGCCUAUGUACAAUUCGAGAGCCUUGGGUUUCUUCUCUGCCUCGGCUGCUGUCCGUCCCCGUCCCUCCCACGGAACGGAAGCAAGCAAGCAAGCGUCGAUGGAUCCAGGCAGACGCGCAUUCCCCACGGGGGAAGUGGCGGGCGGUGGUGAGCUCUCACUGGUAGCCGCCCAGGCCGGUGAGCAGCAGCUCGUGCGGCCGCAGCAGCGUCGGGGAGGGCACGGGCGCCAGCGGCGCGCCGAGGUAGGAGAAGUCGAAGUCGGAGGCGUCGGGGACGCCGGCGGCGGCGGCCCAGAGCGCGCCGGCCAUCUCGUCGGGGAUGAGCGGCGCGCGGCAGAGCGGGCACGUGCGCUGGUCGUGCUCCAUCCAGCGGUCGAGGCAGGCCCGGUGGAAGACGUGGCGGCAGUUGCUGAGCCGCCGCACCUCGUCGCGGCCGCCGAUGCCGCUCAGGCACACCGCGCAGUCUCCGGGCUCCGGCUCCAGCUCCAGCUCGUCGAACCGCACCACGGGGAGGACCUCCUCGAUGACCAUCGCCGGCACCGCCCGGAACUCCGGGCGCCGGUGCUGCAGCAUCGCCGCCUGCUGCGGCAGGUCCCGCCCCUGCGCGGCGGCGCCGUGCUGCUGCUGCUGGUGGUCCUGCAGCAGCGCCUGGUGGUCGUCCCCGAGAUCCAGCAGGUCGCCGAGCCCCACGGCGUCGAACGCCCAGAGGAGGAAGCGGCGGAUGUACCCCAGCAGCAGCAGGAGGUGGAGCAGCUGCUUCGGGAGCACCAGCUCCGAGUAGCCCACCGGGAAACCCAUGCCUGCCGCGACCGGGGCAGCGCUUGUCCGGAUUUGCGCCCUGGGCGUGUCCGGGCUUGCGGUGGUGGGAGGGGGAAGGUGGGGGCGACGCGAUGUGCCGGGUGCUUCUUGCGGAUAUGCCGA